rnacentral:rRNA from 1 species
GAUUAAGUUUGAUCCUGGCUCAGGAUGAACGCUGGCGGCGUCCUAAUACAUCAAGUCGACGGUAAGGCCCUUCGGGGUACACGAGCACGGACGGCUGAGUAACGCGUAGGAACGUACCCCAAAGUGAGGAAUAACUGCCCGAAAGGGUAGCUAAUGCCGCAUAUGGUCUUCGGAUUAAAGCCUUCGGGCGCUUUGGGAGCGGCCUGCGUACGAUUAGAUUGUUGGUGAGGUGAUGGCUCACCAAGUCAACGAUCGUUAGCUGGUCUGAGAGGAUGAUCAGCCAGACUGGGACUUAGACACGGCCCAGACUCCUACGGGAGGCAGCAGUAGGGAAUUUUCCACAAUGGGCGAAAGCCUGAUGGAGCAACGCCGCGUGCAGGAGGAAGGCCUUCGGGUUGUAAACUGCUUUUGUCUGUGACGAUUAUGACGGUAGCAGAU